rnacentral:lncRNA from 1 species
CCUGUGGGCAUCCUUCAGCUGGGACAGGUAUCGGUUUGUCACCUGCAGGGGAGGCAGGGAGGCAGGUGAGCCGAACACGGGGACCCCACGGUGGCUCUGACCUGCUGGACAGGGGUGGAUUGGGGUGAGAGCCACAGUACCCCAGGGGGCUCCUCACCCUGCCUUGGGACUGGGCUGAUCUCGGAGAACCUUCAGGGUGGGGGUGGAGGGAUGGAUCUC